AGAGUUUGAUCAUGGCUCAGAAUCAACGCUGGCGGCGUGCCUCAGACAUGCAAGUCGAACGCGAAAGCCUCCUUCGGGGAGCAAGUAGAGUGGCGCACGGGUGAGUAACACGUAGGUAAUCUACCUUUGGAUUGGGAAUAACCACCGGAAACGGUGGCUAAUACCGAAUAAUGCAGCGGCACCUAAUGGUGACAGUUGUUAAAGCGGGGGAUCGCAAGACCUCGCGUCUGAAGAGGAGCCUGCGGCAGAUUAGCUAGUUGGUAAGGUAACGGCUUACCAAGGCGAUGAUCUGUAGCCGGCCUGAGAGGGCGGUCGGCCACACUGACACUGACAUACGGGUCAGACUCCUACGGGAGGCAGCAGUCGGGAAUUUUGGGCAAUGGGCGAAAGCCUGACCCAGCAACGCCGCGUGAAGGAUGAAAUCCUUCGGGAUGUAAACUUCGCAAGAACGGGAAGAAUAAGUAAGGGUUAAUAUCUCUUACGAUGACGGUACUGUUUGUAAGCUCCGGCUAACUCCGUGCCAGCAGCCGCGGUAAUACGGGGGGAGCAAGCGUUGUUCGGAUUUACUGGGCGUAAAGGGCGCGUAGGCGGCCACCGCAAGUCGACUGUGAAAUCUCCGGGCUUAACCCGGAAAGGUCAGCCGAUACUGCGGGGCUAGAGUGCAGAAGGGGCAACUGGAAUUCUCGGUGUAGCGGUGAAAUGCGUAGAGAUCGGGAGGAACACCAGUGGCGAAGGCGGCUACCUGGACCAGCACUGACACUGAGGCACGAAAGCGUGGGGAGCAAACAGGAUUAGAUACCCUAGUAGUCC
rnacentral:rRNA from 1 species